rnacentral:ncRNA from 1 species
GGAAGGGCAAACUUGCCGAAAGACAAGGACGCAAAGCCACGGGCCUAACGUAACGAAUACCAAGGCAGCCGGGUU